rnacentral:rRNA from 1 species
CCUACGGGUGGCAGCAGUGAGGAAUAUUGGUCAAUGGGCGGGAGCCUGAACCAGCCAAGUCGCGUGAGGGAAGACGGUCCUAUGGAUUGUAAACCUCUUUAGGCGGGGAGCAAGGCCGGGCACGUGGGCCCGGAGGGAGAGGACCCGCAGAAGAAGCAGCGGCUAACUCCGUGCCAGCAGCCGCGGUAAUACGGAGGAUGCGUGCGUUAUCCGGAUUGAUUGGGUUUAAAGGGUGCGUAGGCGGAUUUUGAAGUCAGCGGUAAAAUGGACGGGCUCAACCCGGGCCGGCCGGUGAAACUGGGGCUCUUGAGUGGGCGAGAAGUAUGCGGACUGCGUGGUGUAGCGG